UACGAAGGGGGCUAGCGUUGCUCGGAAUCACUGGGCGUAAAGGGUGCGUAGGCGGGUCUUUUAAGUCAGGGGUGAAAUCCUGGAGCUCAACUCCAGAACUGCCUUUGAUACUGAAGAUCUUGAGUUCGGGAGGGGUGAGUGGAACUGCGAGUGUAGAGGUGAAAUUCGUAGAUAUUCGCAAGAACACCAGUGGCGAAGGCGGACUCACUGGCCCGAGUACUGACGCUGAGGCACGAAAGCGUGGGGAGCAAACAGGG
rnacentral:rRNA from 1 species